rnacentral:piRNA from 1 species
UACUAUGGUACAACGUAUGAAUGAACAUGA